rnacentral:rRNA from 1 species
UACGUAGGGUGCGAGCGUUUAAUCGGAAUUACUGGGCGUAAAGCGUGCGCAGGCGGCCUUGCAAGACAGAUGUGAAAUCCCCGGGCUUAACCUGGGAACUGCAUUUGUGACUGCAUGGCUCGAGUGUGGCAGAGGGGGAUGGAAUUCCGCGUGUAGCAGUGAAAUGCGCAGAUAUCGUAAGGAAGACCAGUGGCGAAGGCGGGUCGCUGGACAGUUCCUGACGCUGA